CCUACGGGAGGCAGCAGUGGGGAAUCUUGCGCAAUGGGCGAAAGCCUGACGCAGCCAUGCCGCGUGGAUGAUGAAGGUCUUAGGAUUGUAAAAUCCUUUCAGCGGGGACGAUAAUGACGGUACCCGCAGAAGAAGCCCCGGCUAACUUCGUGCCAGCAGCCGCGGUAAUACGAAGGGGGCUAGCGUUGCUCGGAAUUACUGGGCGUAAAGGGAGCGUAGGCGGAUGUUUAAGUUGGGGGUGAAAGCCCAGGGCUCAACCCUGGAACUGCCUUCAAUACUGGACAUCUAGAGUAUGGGAGAGGUGUGUGGAACUCCGAGUGUAGAGGUGAAAUUCGUAGAUAUUCGGAAGAACACCAGUGGCGAAGGCGACACACUGGCCCAUUACUGACGCUGAGGCUCGAAAGCGUGGGGAGCAAACAGGAUUAGAUACCCUGGUAGUCCACGCUGUAAACGAUGAGUGCUAGUUGUCGGCAUGCAUGCAUGUCGGUGACGCAGCUAACGCAUUAAGCACUCCGCCUGGGGAGUACGGUCGCAAGAUUAAAACUCAAAGGAAUUGACGG
rnacentral:rRNA from 1 species